UGGGGAAUUUUGGACAAUGGGCGCAAGCCUGAUCCAGCCAUGCCGCGUGCGGGAAGAAGGCCUUCGGGUUGUAAACCGCUUUUGUCAGGGAAGAAAUCUUCUGAGUUAAUACCUCGGGAGGAUGACGGUACCUGAAGAAUAAGCACCGGCUAACUACGUGCCAGCAGCCGCGGUAAUACGUAGGGUGCAAGCGUUAAUCGGAAUUACUGGGCGUAAAGCGUGCGCAGGCGGUUUUGUAAGACAGAGGUGAAAUCCCCGGGCUCAACCUGGGAACUGCCUUUGUGACUGCAAGGCUUGAGUGCGGCAGAGGGGGCAUGGAAUUCCGCGUGUAGCAGUGAAAUGCGUAGAUAUGCGGAGGAACACCGUGGCGAAGGCAAUCCCCUGGGCCUGCACUGACGCUCAUGCACGAAAGCGUGGGGAGCAAACAGGAUUAGAU
rnacentral:rRNA from 1 species